CAGCCGCCGGUAAUACAGAGGGUGCGAGCGUUAAUCGGAUUUACUGGGCGUAAAGCGUGCGUAGGCGGCUAAUUGAGUCGGAUGUGAAAUCCCCGAGCUUAACUUGGGAAUUGCAUUCGAUACUGGUUAGCUAGAGUGUGGGAGAGGAUGGUAGAAUUCCAGGUGUAGCGGUGAAAUGCGUAGAGAUCUGGAGGAAUACCGAUGGCGAAGGCAGCCAUCUGGCCUAACACUGACGCUGAGGUACGAAAGCAUGGGGAGCAAACAGGAUUAGAUACCCCCGUAGUCCCUGUCUCUUAUACAC
rnacentral:rRNA from 1 species